GCUGGGCAUGGUGGCGUGUGCCUGUAAUCCUAGCUACUCAGGAGGCUGAGGCAGGAUAAUUGCCUGAAUCCAGGAAGCAGAGGUUGUAGUGAGCUGAGAUCACGCCAUUGCACUCCAGCCUGGGUAACGAGCAAAACUCUGUCUCAAAAAAAAAAAAUUUUUUUUUUGCCCAGGCAGGAGUGCAGUGCUGCAGUCUCGGCUCACUGCGACCUCUGCCUCCCGGGUUCAAGUGAUUCUCCUGCCUCAG
rnacentral:sRNA from 1 species